GACGAACGCUGGCGGCGUGCUUAACACAUGCAAGUCGAACGGUGAACCUCUUCGGAGGGGAUCAGUGGCGAACGGGUGAGUAACACGUGGGCAACCUGCCCCCGGCUCUGGGAUAACUCCAAGAAAUUGGGGCUAAUACCGGAUGUUCACCGCUUCCCGCAUGGGUGGUGGUGGAAAGGGUUUCCGGCUGGGGAUGGGCCCGCGGCCUAUCAGCUUGUUGGUGGGGUAGUGGCCUACCAAGGCGACGACGGGUAGCCGGCCUGAGAGGGUGACCGGCCACACUGGGACUGAGACACGGCCCAGACUCCUACGGGAGGCAGCAGUGGGGAAUAUUGCGCAAUGGGCGGAAGCCUGACGCAGCGACGCCGCGUGGGGGAUGACGGCCUUCGGAUUGUAAACCUCUUUCAGCAGGGACGAAGCGCAAGUGACGGUACCUGCAGAAGAAGCACCGGCCAACUACGUG
rnacentral:rRNA from 1 species